rnacentral:rRNA from 1 species
ACGUACACUCCUACGGGAGGCAGCAGUGGGGAAUAUUGGACAAUGGGCGCAAGCCUGAUCCAGCCAUGCCGCGUGAGUGAUGAAGGCCCUAGGGUUGUAAAGCUCUUUCACCGGAGAAGAUAAUGACGGUAUCCGGAGAAGAAGCCCCGGCUAACUUCGUGCCAGCAGCCGCGGUAAUACGAAGGGGGCUAGCGUUGUUCGGAAUUACUGGGCGUAAAGCGCACGUAGGCGGAUCGAUCAGUCAGGGGCGAAAUCCCAGGGCUCAACCCUGGAACUGCCUUUGAUACUGUCGAUCUGGAGUAUGGAAGAGGUGAGUGGAAUUCCGAGUGUAGAGGUGAAAUUCGUAGAUAUUCGGAGGAACACCAGUGGCGAAGGCGGCUCACUGGUCCAUUACUGACGCUGAGGUGCGAAAGCGUGGGGAGCAAACAGGAUUAGAAACCCGGGUAGUCCCAUGA